UCCCUGGCGGUCCAGUGGUUAAGAUUGUGUGCUUCUAAUGCACGAGGCACAGGUUCGAUUCCCGGUCAGGGAA
rfam:Ovis aries breed Texel chromosome 2, whole genome shotgun sequence.